rnacentral:rRNA from 1 species
UACAGAGGUGGCAAGCGUUGUUCGGAAUUACUGGGCGUAAAGGGCGCGUAGGCGGCCUUCUAAGUCAGACGUGAAAUCCCCCGGCUUAACCUGGGAACUGCGUCUGAUACUGGAAGGCUUGAGUGCGGGAGAGGGAUGUGGAAUUCCAGGUGUAGCGGUGAAAUGCGUAGAUAUCUGGAGGAACACCGGUGGCGAAGGCGGCAUCCUGGACCGACACUGACGCUGAGGCGCGAAAGCUAGGGGAGCAAACAGG